UGGUGGUUGCACACCAAGGCAAAUAGACAUUUUGUGCAGUAUGAACAUCUGCUAUCCAACAAUCUUUUUAUCUAUGAGCUACAUCAAGUAUUUGCAGAUUUAUUAUCUAUCAAGUUAAUGUACAUAAUCUCACUGGACAUUUCAGCUAAUGUCAUCUUUCUAAAGUGUGGUAUUAGCCUCUACGGAAGCUCAUUCACUAGGAAGGAUGACAAGAGAUGAGGUGUUAUACAGUUUCCACAAAGAGAGUACAGAUCUGAAAAGUAUAGUUAACAAGAUAAGUGGUCAAAGAUAAAACCUGACUUCAAAUCUGAUAUUGCAACACACCGUCUUGCAACACACCGUCCUGACUUGCUCAGACGAAUCUUCAACCGACAUUUCUAAGUGAUGGAUGACUUAUGUCUCAGAUCGAAGUUACAAAGAUGAAAUCUUGAAAUGCAUAUGUUGAUGAUGAGUUAAGAAGUCCAAAUCGUUGAUGAAGUUCUGGAAAGGUUUCCUAUUUGAUUCUAAUGGUUAUUGUCUUCUCUUUGAUUUUUUUAAUUUGUUUAUUUUAAGUGUUAGAAGACUUUGGGAAUUUGGACCGAGUCUUUUGGAGGUGAUGUGGGCCUUUUGGCUUUUUCUUAAUAAAUUAUGGUCAUUGACCAUUUUUUAUUUUAAAAAAAAGUAUACUUGUGGUGUGGGAGAGAAGAAAAGGUAAUAAUUAUUCUUUUAAUAUAUUCUUAUGAUGG
rnacentral:lncRNA from 1 species